rnacentral:rRNA from 1 species
AACGAACGCUGGCGGCAGGCCUAACACAUGCAAGUCGAACGCCGUAGCAAUACGGAGUGGCAGACGGGUGAGUAACGCGUGGGAACAUACCCCUCGGUUCGGAAUAACUCAGGGAAACUUGAGCUAAUACCGGAUACGUCCGAGGUUUUGAUCGACCUUGGAGAAAGAUUUAUCGCCGAAGGAUUGGCCCGCGUCUGAUUAGCUUGUUGGUGAGGUAAUGGCUCACCAAGGCGACGAUCAGUAGCUGGUCUGAGAGGAUGAUCAGCCACAUUGGGACUGAGACACGGCCCAAACUCCUACGGGAGGCAGCAGUGGGGAAUAUUGGACAAUGGGACGAAAGCCUGAUCCAGCCAUGCCGCGUGAGUGAUGAAGGCCU